rnacentral:rRNA from 1 species
AACGUUUCGAAAGGAACGCUAAUACCGCAUACGUCCUACGGAGAAAGCAGGGACCUUCGGGCCUUGCGCUAUCAGAUGAGCCUAGGUCGGAUUAGCUAGUUGGUGAGGUAAUGGCUCACCAAGGCGACGAUCCGUAACUGGUCUGAGAGGAUGAUCAGUCACACUGGAACUGAGACACGGUCCAGACUCCUACGGGAGGAGCAGUC